ACUCUUUGUUCGCAGCUUUUAGGAGAAAGAUACACAAACCUUCUAUGGCAUAUGGUGAGUCAGAGCAAUGUCAAGUAAAAAUUGUUUAAACUGAACAGCCCGAGUGUGAAUGUUCAUGGAGUAGAUGUUUCCCCUGGGCCCAUAACCAUGACUGUAGCUAAGGAGAUGCCCAGUCAAAGCGACAAGGAGAGGAGCGAGUGGGAAAAUGGAGAAGCAGAGAAACAUGGUGGCUUGGCUAUAAGUUGGCUCUAAUAUGUUGAUUGUCUUCCUAAGCUGAAAACAACAUGGGAACGUGCUAUGGAAAAACAGGGCUUCUCUACACCCUCCUUGAGACCAGGGACUGAGCCUUACUUAUCCUGCCUCUUCAGAAGUAGCUGCCUAGAAACGGAACUCAAAUGGAACUCAGUAGCAGAAUAAAUGCAGUCAUGCAUCAUUAAUGAUGAGGAUGCAUUCUGAGAAAUAGGUGCUUUCGCCGCUGUGCAGACACCAUAGCGUGUACUGACACGAGCCUAGAUGGUAUGGCCUGCCACACUAGGGGCUGCAGACCCAUGCAGAACUUACUGUAUUGAAUACAGUAGCCAACAGUAACACCAUGGUUGGCCUUGAACUCCUGAGCUCAACCAAUCCCCCCGCCUCAGCCUCCUGAGCAGCUGGGAUUAAAGAGGCGGGCCACACACCUGGCUCACUCCAUCAUAAUCUUGUGGGACCACCGUAGUAUACCUGGCCCAUCUUUGAUGAAAAGGUCCUUAUGUGACACAUGACUGUAGACCGUACUACUGCUACUCCCUGCUCCAAAUUCUUGCCUGUCGCUUCCUUGCUUCUCAAAAUCAUAAGCCUUGACGG